rnacentral:sRNA from 1 species
GUGUAAAGUGAGUCUCACCACAGUCUUAAACAGUGGCUUCCUUGAUGAGUGGCUGACCCUGGAGGAUGUCCCAUCUGGCCGCCUGCACUUGCGCCUGGAGCGUCUCACCCCCCGUCCCACUGCUGCUGAGUUAGAGGAGGUGCUGCAGGUGAAUAGUUUGAUCCAGACUCAGAAGAGUGCGGAGCUGGCCGCGGCCCUGCUAUCCAUCUAUAUGGAGCGGGCAGAGGACCUGCCGCUGCGAAAAGGCACCAAGCACCCCAGCCCUUAUGCUACUCUCACUGUGGGAGAUACUUCUCAUAAAACCAAGACUGUUUCGCAAACUUCAGCCCCUGUCUGGGAUGAGAGUGCCUCCUUUCUCAUCAGGAAACCACACACUGAGAACCUAGAGUUGCAGAUCCUGGUGUCCCAGCACUCGGGAGUGGAAGCUCAUAGCCACAGCUACAGCCACAGCUCCUCAUCUCUGAGUGAAGAACCAGAGCUCUCGGGGGGACCCCCUCACAUCACCUCUUCAGCCCCAGAGCUCCGGCAGCGCCUAACACAUGUUGACAGUUCCCUUGAGGCUCCAGCCGGGCCUCUGGGCCAGGUGAAACUGACUGUGUGGUACUACAGUGAAGAACGAAAGCUGGUCAGCAUUGUUCAUGGUUGC